CUAACUGAAGUUCGACACUUUCAUGCAUGCGCUCCAUUGACUCCAAUGUAAAAAGAGGAACAUUAACGAAGGAGAGAGAGAGAGAGAGAAAGAGAAAGCGACUCUGUACCUGCAGUGGGUUUUUGGUGCUGAUGGCCAGGACCUGGUACUUGAAGUAACAGAGCUCACAGCUCCAGGAGCCUCUCUCACUGAUCCAGCGGAUAAGGCAGGACUGCUGAGAAGAGAGACGAGCUCCAUCCACAGCGCACUGACACAAGCUGCUGUCCAAGGUGCUGAUACUCGUGUGACGUGAUGGCCACGUGCUGAUCGAGAUCCAUCGGAUGACGGAGAAAAGGAAAAC